rnacentral:rRNA from 1 species
CCCUUAGAUGUUCUGGGCCGCACACGCGCUACACUGGCAGGUUCAUCGAGCUUCAUGCCCUGAUCUGAGAAGAACGGGAAAUCUUUGAACACCUGCCGUGCUUGGGAUAGAUGUUUGCAAUUAUUCAUCUUCAACGAGGAUUGCCUUGUAAGCGCACGUCAUCAGCGUGCAUUGAAUACGACCCUGUAUUCUGUACACACCGCCCGUCGCUCCUACCGAUUGAAGUUUUCGGUGAAUUUACUGGAGAUCCCUUUUGAAGGUGGUUCGCCACUGGAAGAAGUAUGCAAAAGUAAAUGAAUCGAAUGCUUUAGAGGAAGGAGAAGUCGUAACA